rnacentral:rRNA from 1 species
GAUGAACGCUGGCGGCGCGCCUAAUACAUGCAAGUCGAACGCUGAAGGAGGAGCUUGCUCUUCUGGAUGAGUUGCGAACGGGUGAGUAACGCGUAGGUAACCUGCCUGGUAGCGGGGGAUAACUCUUGGAAACGAUAGCUAAUACCGCAUGACAACAGUUAUUGCAUGAUAACUGUUUAAAAGGGGCAACUGCUCCACUACCAGAUGGACCUGCGUUGUAUUAGCUAGUUGGUGAGGUAACGGCUCACCAAGGCGACGAUACAUAGCCGACCUGAGAGGGGGGUCGGCCACACUGGGAAUGAGACAAGGCCCAGACUCCUAAGGGAGGGAGCAGGAGGGAAUCUUAGGCAAUGGACGGAAGGCUGACCGAGCAACGCCGCGGGAGGGAAGAAGGGUGUCGGAUCGUAAAGCUCUGUUGUAAGGGAAGAACGAGUGUGAGAGUGGAAAGUUCACACUGUGACGGUAUCUUACCAGAAAGGGACGGCUAACUACGUG